rnacentral:rRNA from 1 species
CUGACGGUAGUCGUAUGCUCGUCUCCGAGACUAAGCCAUGCAAGUCCAAGUACACGUCCUUGAACGACGGAAACUGCGAACGGCUCAUUAAAUCAGUUGCGAUCUACUCGGCGUUCCGCGCCGCCGGAUAACCGUAGUAAUUCUAGGGCUAAUACGUGCGAAGCGCCAGAAGCCGCGAGGCGACGGGCGUUCUCGCCGGAUGUAGGAACCGACCCGGGGACCGCCGGGGCAACCCGGCGCCCCCGAGACGGGGCGAACCACGGUGAAAUGACGGAUCGUCGGCCCCGCGCCGGCGACUCGCCGAAUGAGUUUCUGACCUAUCAACUCGAGACGGCGGGGUAGAGGCCCGCCGCGGUAACGACGGGUAACGGGGAAUCAGGGUUCGAUUCCGGAGAGGGAGCCCGAGAAACGGCUACCACUUCCAAGGAAGGCAGCAGGCGCGCAACUUACCCUAAUCUCGAUUCGAGGAGGUAGUGACAAGAAAUACCGA